GACUCUGAGUGGCGGCCUGCUUUCGAGACUGGCUUGUCCCAAGUUCACUGAAGUGACUGCUGAGCAGUUAGGCUUGUGGAGCCCUGGAGGAAGAGUGCAUCUGGCGCCUGAGGCGAGACUCUCCUUGGCAGGGACCUAAAUUCCAGGGUCCUGACUCCCUCUUCGGGCCUCAAGCAUCUGGUACACAUACUAGCCACACAUACAUGCAGAUCAAAGCUGCUAUCUCUGGUGUGGAAUCCACUUCAGAAUCACCUGUUUACCUGCUGAACAACGCAUUAUUCUGCUGAACAAUGCAUUACUUCUAAAGGCAGAACAUACCUGUUCUGACAAGCUAUGCCAACCUCAACACCCACCACAGUGCUGGUGAAAAGCGGUAAUCAAUAGUUACUAGAAGAAUGAAUGGAUCAGCAGCAACUCUCUUCUACUUUUUCCUGGAUCUGUGGGAAGCCCUCUGCAAACAUUGCUAGACUUAGAGGAGGACCCGGACUCUGGUCCAUACUGCCUUCCCCAAGGAGACUCCUACCUGACUG